rnacentral:rRNA from 1 species
UACGUAGGGUGCGAGCGUUGUCCGGAAUUACUGGGCGUAAAGGGCUCGUAGGUGGCCAACUAAGUCAGACGUGAAAUCCCUCGGCUUAACCGGGGAACUGCGUCUGAUACUGGAUGGCUUGAGUUCGGGAGAGGGAUGCGGAAUUCCAGGUGUAGCGGUGAAAUGCGUAGAUAUCUGGAGGAACACCGGUGGCGAAGGCGGCAUCCUGGACCGACACUGACGCUGAGGAGCGAAAGCGUGGGGAGCAAACAGG